rnacentral:rRNA from 1 species
UACGGAGGGUGCGAGCGUUGUCCGGAAUCACUGGGCGUAAAGGGCGCGUAGGCGGCCUGAUAAGUCGGGGGUGAAAUCCUGCGGCUUAACCGCAGGGCUGCCUUCUAAACUGUCAGGCUAGAGCACAGUAGAGGCAGGUGGAAUUCCCGGUGUAGCGGUGGAAUGCGUAGAGAUCGGGAGGAAGGCCGGUGGCGAAGGCGGCGCUCUGGAACGUUUCUGACACUGAGGCUCGAAAGCGUGGGGAGCAAACAGG